rnacentral:rRNA from 1 species
UACUAGAAUAUUAGAAGUUAUGUUCUUUAAAUUUAAAAAAUUUGGCGGUGUUUUAGUCUGGUUAGAGGAACCUGUCUUAUAAAUGAUACAACACGUAUUAUCUUACUUAUUUUAGAACAGCUUGUAUAUCGCAUUAUAAGAUAAUUUAAGAGAGAAUAUUAUUGAAAUUAUAUUAUUAAGAUAUUAGAUCGGUGCACUUAUGAAUAAGUAAAUAUGGGUUACAAUAAAAUUUAUUUAAUAUGAAUAAGAUUUAAAUAUAUUUAUGAAGGAGGAUUUAAUUGUAAGGAAGGAAUUACAAGAUUUUUUGAAGCUCUAAAUUAU